UACGUAGGGUGCAAGCGUUGUCCGGAAUUAUUGGGCGUAAAGAGCUUGUAGGCGGUUUGUCGCGUCUGCUGUGAAAUUUCGGGGCUCAACCCCGAACUUGCAGUGGGUACGGGCAGACUAGAGUGUGGUAGGGGAGACUGGAAUUCCUGGUGUAGCGGUGAAAUGCGCAGAUAUCAGGAGGAACACCGAUGGCGAAGGCAGGGCUCUGGGCCACGACUGACGCUGAGAAGCGAAAGCAUGGGGAGCGAACAGG
rnacentral:rRNA from 1 species